CCAUGAGGAGUAGAAGAGAAUGAGAGUGAAAUCAGAGCUGUUGUGCUAGAUCACGACAGGGAUGGAGCAGAAAACAAAGUACCGUUUUAAAAGGAGGUGUUAUCAUCAAACACAGAACCUGCUUCGUUCACAACCGCACCCCUUUUCUGGCCUCCUCUUCCCACCUGUACUCAUGUGGGCUCUCUACCUGCUGAGUCAUCGCGGCAUGGCGAUGGAGAAAAUAACUUUCCUGUAGCUGAGAGCUGGGGGAACUGUUUUGAAGCAGGAAUGA